AAAGAAAUUUGGAUUGAUUUUGGGUGCUGAUACCAAAAUUAAUGCAGAACAAAGGGAAAGAACCAAUAAGAAGAGAAAUCAAAGAUCAAUUAUUGAAAAAGAGAACUAAUUCUCAAGACAUUAUUGAUUUCAUAAAAAUUGUCAUAACAAAGCCUCCAAAGUAAUGAGAACCUUUAGGUCUAUCUAUAGUGUUUGAAUAACCCUAAUUAGGAAUUGAGGAUCCCAAACUAUUUAGGAAUUGAAAAAUCCCAAUUUAAUAAGGAACCCUAAUCUAAUUAAGGAUACACAAUCAUUAAAAAAUCUCAGUAAGUUCUUAUUUUCUAUAUGUUUUUUUUUUAAGUAGGUACUCCUAAAAUCUUUAAAAAUAUAUUCUGUAUCAUUAGGCUUUGUUUAUUUGUGAAAAAUAACUUGUUUGUGGAAAUUACUUUACAUAAGAAAACAUUUUUUGAGCAAAUAAUUUUUGUUUAGUUGCAAUGCUUAAAAACAAAUUAUUUUGUGAAGUUUGGAGUGUGCCUAAAACUGGUAAUUUUCUUUUAAUUUAUAAUACUAUAAAAAUGUU
rnacentral:misc_RNA from 1 species